CUUAUACUCCCUCCGUCUCAUAUUAAGUGCCGAAAUAUUACAUGUAUCUAGACGCUUUUCAGUUAUAGAUACAUCCAUAUUUGGGCAACUUUUAGUCACUUAAUAUUAGAUGAAGGGAGUAAAUC
rfam:Brachypodium distachyon strain Bd21 chromosome 2, whole genome shotgun sequence.